rnacentral:lncRNA from 1 species
CCAGCUCCUCCUUCCGCUGGAGCUGACAGCCCCCAAGUGUUCAUUUUGUGAUUUGUUGCUGCGUCGACAGACCGCAACCAAACUACACAGGCAUUGCCCCUUUCUGUUCUUUGACAUCUGACUGGGGUGUUGGGACUUAGAAGUGAGCUGUGCGGGUCACCAGAGUAGGAUUAGAGUCAAAUAACAAACCCUAAAUUUGGAAAGAGAGCAGCUGCGUGAAGGCAAUUUGGGCAGAUUGACAGUCUGGAGUGUUCUCCAGACCAGCAGCAGCAACAGGAUUGCCGCAGACAUGUUGGAAACGCAGACUCUCAGCCCAUCCUAGUCUUGUCAAGCUGAAACUCAGUUGUCUGGAACGGAACCAGCAAUAUCUCCAAGAAUUGACUUGGAAACAUCUCAGAACUGACCUGUAAAAGUGCAGCUACAGAAUCUAUAAACUGGAGAAUUUUCUUGACAAAGCGACCGAAAUGUUUUGUCCUCAAAGCAAUGGUAAAAAAAAGUUUGUUUUACGCUUCUUAUGUACUACGCUAAAAAAUAGCGACAAUGUGGAAAUUGACCAUGGGGAGACAGAGCGUUCUGGAAAUUGUUUUUUUCUUGACUUACGAAUAGCCCUACGUGAGCCUCUGGUCUCCGGACACUGACUCCAUCAGUACCGGGACGGCUGCCAUCAAAGCGCCCUGGAAGGCAGGCGGCAGGAAAGCCGACCUAGUCCAAG